UUCAUUCUACUUCCCGCGUUGUGCUUUCUGCUUCUCCAUCUCUCGCUCACUCUUCUUCUCUCUUUCUCUCCUACUUCACCCGCGUCGUUUUUUCUUCUUCUCUCUUUCCCUCCACUCCUCAUAUGCUGUAGGUCAUUCUGGGGCUGCUUCAAACCCACUCCUCCUCUGUAAGUCAUUUUGGGGCUGCUUCAACCUCAUUUUCUAAUUACGAUUUGAGUUCAGCCCAAGGAUGUUCACCGAUGCAGGACAAUUCCAUAUUUUUUGACACCAUCAUCAACAGCAGCCGGAGGCAGAGCUAAUUAAAUUCAAUGUCUCCUGCAACACCAACGGUUGUUUCCUCUGUGCAGGAACUUUAUGAGUUUGCAAGCUUAGGUCCUCUUGUAGAGAAACUGGGUCUGACCUCAAAAAUAAUUGCAGAGACUUUUCAUAAGUGGUUAAAACGUGGGCUUUACCCAGAUUUUAUCUCUUUUA